rnacentral:rRNA from 1 species
GAUGAACGCUGGCGACGUGCUUAACACAUGCAAGUCGAACGAACCUUCGGGUUAGUGGCGGACGGGUGAGUAACGCGUGAGAAUCUGCCCUCAGGAGGGGGAUAACGGCUGGAAACGGCCGCUAAUACCCCAUAUGCCGCGAGGUGAAAUGAAUUUCGCCUGAGGAUGAGCUCGCGUCUGAUUAGCUAGUUGGUGGGGUAAGAGCCUACCAAGGCAUCGAUCAGUAGCUGGUCUGAGAGGAUGAUCAGCCACACUGGGACUGAGACACGGCCCAGACUCCUACGGGAGGCAGCAGUGGGGAAUUUUCCGCAAUGGGCGCAAGCCUGACGGAGCAACGCCGCGUGAGGGAUGAAGGCCUCUGGGCUGUAAACCUCUUUUAUCAAGGAAGAAGAUCUGACGGUACUUGAUGAAUAAGCCACGGCUAAUUCCGUGCCAGCCGCCGCCGUAACAC